AUUGAACGCUGGCGGAAUGCUUUACACAUGCAAGUCGAACGGUAGAGGGGGCAACCCCUCGAGAGUGGCGAACGGGUGAGUAAUAUAUCGGAACGUGCCCAGUCGUGGGGGAUAACGUAGCGAAAGUUACGCUAAUACCGCAUACGAUCUAAGGAUGAAAGCGGGGGAUCGCAAGACCUCGCGCGAUUGGAGCGGCCGAUAUCAGAUUAGGUAGUUGGUGGGGUAAAGGCUCACCAAGCCAACGAUCUGUAGCUGGUCUGAGAGGACGACCAGCCACACUGGAACUGGAACACGGUCCAGAGUCCUACGGGAGGCAGCAGUGGGGAAUUUUGGACAAUGGACGCAAGUCUGAUCCAGCCAUUCCGCGUGCAGGAUGAAGGCCCUCGGGUUGUAAACUGCUUUUGUACGGAACGAAAAGGUCUCUCUUAAUACGGGGGACUCAUGACGGUACCGUAAGAAUAAGCACCGGCUAACUACGUGCCAGCAGCCGCGGUAA
rnacentral:rRNA from 1 species